ACUCCUACGGGAGGCAGCAGUGGGGAAUAUUGCACAAUGGGGGAAACCCUGAUGCAGCCAUGCCGCGUGUGUGAAGAAGGCCUUCGGGUUGUAAGCACUUUCAGUAGGGAGGAAGGUAGUGUAGUUAACACCUGCAUUAUUUGACGUUACCUACAGAAGAAGCACCGGCUAACUCCGUGCCAGCAGCCGCGGUAAUACGGAGGGUGCGAGCGUUAAUCGGAAUUACUGGGCGUAAAGCGCAUGCAGGCGGCCUGUUAAGUCAGAUGUGAAAGCCCGGGGCUUAACCUCGGAAUUGCAUUUGAAACUGGCAGGCUAGAGUCUUGUAGAGGGGGGUAGAAUUUCAGGUGUAGCGGUGAAAUGCGUAGAGAUCUGAAGGAAUACCAGUGGCGAAGGCGGCCCCCUGGACAAAGACUGACGCUCAGAUGCG
rnacentral:rRNA from 1 species